UGUGGUCACCGAAGUCUGCCCUCCACCCAUAGACUGGAGGAGCUGUCAUUUCUUCCUCCAUGCUCCUGGAGGGGCUGACAGGAACGUGACUCGGGGCUGUGCCAGCUGGGGCUCCCACCAGUGUGGGGCCCAGGCUGGCCUUGAACUCCCGCAAUCCUCCUGCCUCAGCCUCCUGAGUGCUGGGAUGAUAGGCGUGCGGCACCGUGCCCAGCUGGGAUUUCUGUUCUUUGGGGGAAAGGAGGAGAAGGAAGAUCUUACAUGUCUCCUGCAGGGUGCACCUUCUUCCCCUGCAUGGGCAGUGGGCUCUGUGAAGAAGUCAGAAGCCAAGGAAUGGUGGCCAUACAUGGAAGAAGCCGCCCCGUCAGAGAGAGCAAUCCGAUCCCUGCUGCAGAGUGGCAGAGACAGACACCUCAGUGCAGCUCAGACCGCUGCUCAGUGGAUGAUGUUUCCUCUUUUCAUUUAAUCUUUAUUAAUAAACACUACGUAAUCCACUGCA